CCUGCCCCCUAAGAGCAUUGCUGAUGUGGCUGCUGUGUCAUGCAUGUCGGUGGGUGGCAGAGAGGAGAGAGGCUAUGCCUGUGCUCAGUGUUCUGACCUAUGAACAUCUGAACAACUAACAUUCCCUGAAAGA
ensembl:snoRNA Gm24231 predicted gene, 24231